UUUUGUGAAAAACCUUUGGAUGCCAACCAAAGAGGGCCAUUAUGGAUAUUGCAACUUUGCUUUUUGCUUACUUUACUGAUUUACACUCCUGAUGUUUGAGAUUUUUGUACCAAACCCUACUACUUACGGAGUAAAAUAUGCCAGAGUUUCACUUUACCCUUCCAACUUUGCUUACUACUUCACUUUUUUUCACCAACUCCCAGCUUCCCCUCCUUCUCGCACCUUUUUUUGUCCUUUCGAAGCCAAUUUUGGCCCAGCAUAUUUAAGAACCUUCUUGGCUAAUAGAAACUACUCCCAACCUCAACACAGGGACAUAUGGGCUUUUAUCUUAACCCCAAGGUAGCUUUUUAUUGGCACCUUACACCCUUAAGCUUACAAAUGCAUAGCAGAAGCCUACUGCCCUGCUCAAUUUGCUAGGUAAUUUGGGCUUACCCAGGGGAUCCCUAUCUCUCUAUUCAGCCAAACUAAUCCAAAUCUUGCCACUGGAGAGUUGAAACUGCAAAGAACCAGGCUAGAGGAAGCAACCUCCAAAUUGAUUCAAGACUUGAUCGAAUUUCAAUUCACUCCCUUCAUCCCACAAGGCACUACACUGAGAACGUACCAGAAUUAGUGGACAACCAACAUGGAGGUGCUCUUAGCCAUUUCCCCUGAGGAUUUGUUAGUAGGGUUAGACGUGCCCUCUCAAGCAGAACCCAAGGAGACUGGUAUUUCUACUAUUGCUUCCAUUUCUCCUGCUAUCCCAGCUCCUACUCUUGCUAUGUCAGCAACUCUUCCUAGAGUUGUCAGGGCUACUUCGAAGAAAGAACUUCUCAAGCAGACUCUCCUCAAAGAGCUCAAGCCUUAACCAUUCUUAGGAGCAAGCAACAAUAACAAAAGAAGAGAAAACUCAUGCUUGACCCUAAAGAAGAAAAAGUAUCUGCAGCUCAUACGGACAAGGAGAAGGCAGAGGAGGAGAAAGAAAUGCCAUUAAAAAGAAAAAAGAAAAAUGUGGCAAUCUCCCCUUCUGAUUUUACUGAGGACCCUACUCACAAGGUGGCUACUAAGGCAGUGGAGAGAGAACAAUCUAAUGAAAUAAUUGUCUUCCAGAGGUCUAAGAAGAGGAGACAACAGCAGAUACAGAGGGAUGAAACUGUUGCUACUGAUGCACUCUAAAGGAAAACUACAAGGAGGCAACAGACUGUCGAGCACUAUACUCUUCGUAGUUCUCCAACCAUCACCACAACUUCUAAGGCUGCAACUGUUAUUCCACAUCCCUGUCCUUCGACACUGUCUUCUUCUGUUUUGCUUGAAGAUGAAAGACCAUUAGAGGCAGCCUCAAAAAGGAGAAAGAAGAACAACACCAAAGUGCCUUUAAGUGUAGAGCCCAUCCAGAAAGUACUUCCACUUCUUAGCCCUACACUUUCAAUACCUUCUUUGAGGCCAAACAUCUCUCUUUCUUUAUGACCGAGCUUAACUCCAUAUCUACCUCAUCUAACUUUUGCCUCAGCCCAGUUUACUGUCCCUAUAGUCCUGGCUAAUCCUUCAUCACCUGAGAGGGCCCCAGUUGUCACCUCAUCCUCAGUGAUAGCUGGUACUCCCAGAGAAAAU